rnacentral:snRNA from 1 species
AUACUUACCUGGCAGGGGAGAUACCAUGAUCAUGAAGGUGGUUUUCCCAGGGCGAGGCUCACCCAUUGCACUUUGGGGUGUGCUGACCCCUGCGAUUUCC